rnacentral:rRNA from 1 species
GAUGAACGCUGGCGGCGUGCCUAAUACAUGCAAGUCGAGCGAACGGACGAGAAGCUUGCUCCUCUGAUGUUAGCGGCGGACGGGUGAGUAACACGUGGAUAACCUACCUAUAAGACUGGGAUAACUUCGGGAAACCGGAGCUAAUACCGGAUGAUAUUUUGAACCGCAUGGUUCAAUAGUGAAAGACGGUCUUGCUGUCACUUAUAGAUGGAUCCGCGCCGCAUUAGCUAGUUGGUAAGGUAACGGCUUACCAAGGCAACGAUGCGUAGCCGACCUGAGAGGGUGAUCGGCCACACUGGAACUGAGACACGGUCCAGACUCCUACGGGAGGCAGCAGUAGGGAAUCUUCCGCAAUGGGCGAAAGCCUGACGGAGCAACGCCGCGUGAGUGAUGAAGGUCUUCGGAUCGUAAAACUCUGUUAUUAGGGAAGAACAUAUGUGUAAGUAACUGUGCACAUCUUGACGGUACCUAAUCAGAAAGCCACGGCUAACUACGUG